CCAAUAGCGUAUAUUAAAGUUGUUGCAGUUAAAAAGCUCGUAGUUGAAUUUUGGAUUCUACCAAUCGGUCCAUCUUUUGAUGAGUACUGGUUGUGUGGGGUCUAUCCGCCUGGUAAUACGUAAUGUCCUUUAUUGGAUGUUGCGGGUAGUCAGGACCUUUACCUUGAAAAAAUUAGAGUGUUUAAAGCAGGCUUAUGCCGGAAUACAUUAGCAUGGAAUAAUAGAAUAGGACGAAGUUGUUUUAUUUUGUUGGUUUCUAGGACAACCGUAAUGAUUAAUAGGGAUAGUUGGGGGCAUUAGUAUUCAAUUGUCAGAGGUGAAAUUCUUGGAUUUAUUGAAGACUAACUAUUGCGAAAGCAUUUGCCAAGGAUGUUUUCAUUAAUCAAGAACGAAAGUUAGGGGAUCGAAGACGAUCAGAUACCGUCGUAGUCUUAACCAUAAACUAUGCCGACUAGGGAUCGGGCGAUGUUGUUUCAAUGACUCGCUCGGCACCUUAUG
rnacentral:misc_RNA from 1 species